GACGUAGGGCGCGAGCGUUGUCCGGAUUUAUUGGGCGUAAAGAGCUCGUAGGCGGCUUGUCGCGUCGACCGUGAAAACUCGCAGCUCAACUGCGAGCCUGCGGUCGAUACGGGCAGGCUAGAGUUCGGUAGGGGAGACUGGAAUUCCUGGUGUAGCGGUGAAAUGCGUAGAUAUCAGGAGGAACACCGGUGGUGUAGACGGCUCUCUGGACCGUAACUGACGCUGAGACACGAAAGCGUGGGUAGCAAACAGG
rnacentral:rRNA from 1 species